CACUGACACACACAACAAUCUUCAUCAACAUGACCUUCAUCAUCAUCUUCAUCUGGACUCUCACAGCGUUUGCUAGAGAGUGUAGAGGACAGAUCAGCAUCACUCAGAGUCCCUCAACAGCAGCUCAACCAGGAGAAACAGUGAAGAUCAACUGCAAAAUCAGCAGAGAUGUGAUAAAGCAUAGUGGACGUGAUGCUUUGUCCUGGUACUUACAGAAACCUGGAGAAGCUCUUAAACUCCUGAUUUAUUUUGCAAGCAGCCGUCAGUCAGGAACUCCAUCUAGAUUCAGUGGCAGUGGAUCUAACAGUGAUUUCACUCUGACCAUCAGUGGAGUCCAGACUGAAGAUGCUGGACAUUAUUACUGUAUGAGUGACCAUGGAAGUUAUGUGUUGACACAGUGAUAAAGAGUCGUACAAAAACCUCCUUCAGUCAGAGUCACAGUGACUGAGGAGAACAGGAACUACACAUGUGCUCACUGAGAUAUGAGUGAAAUCAGCUCUGUUAGACUGGGAUCUGUCCUGUGACAGACGGGUAAAACAGAGUGUGUAAAGUGAUACCAAAUCAAAGAAACACUAAUAUCAUUGUGCAUUAGACUCAUAUCUAAUUUUAAAGUUAUAUAAUCAGUGGGUAGCACCAGUAGGCUAACAUAAAAAUGAUCUUGAACAGUUUCUCAGGUAUCUACUUUAUCUCAAGCUGAUUAUUAUUAUUAUUAAUUUUUUUUUUACUCAUCUGAUUUAUGACUCAUAACUCAUUUCUCAUGAGCAGAAGUGAAACUGUUCCAGUUCAGAGCGUUUAACCGAUCAAACAGAGAAACUGUGAGUUUGAGCUGAAAAUCAGAUUUGCAUUGACAGCUUUAGUGAUUCUCAGAAUAGAGCAGCUCCGUCUCCAGAGACCAUGUUCAAACCCCAAGAGCUUCAGUUCACAUUUACUGCUAAACACAGCUGUUCUCAACUAUUACAAUCCAUCAACAGCAGCUGAAACUUUAGUGAAGGACUCUGAAUGAUGCAGUCGAACACAAAUUUAUUGAAUAUUCAAUUCACCUGUUUUAGGUUUUACUUCCGUGCAUUGUAUUGAAUGCCAUGUUCUACACAGACAGUGUGAACCAGCAUCUGUGGAAAAUCAUCAUUUGUGUCCAAGCUUAUCCUGAUUCAGUGAACAUGAUGGAAAUAUACAGAUGCCCAGAUCUCCACUAAUCUUUAGGAAACGGAUAAAUGAUGCGCUAAUGUUAUUCUGUUUUUAUUUUAUGUCACCAACUGAAAUGAAUGGCCUCAUAAAAUAAAUCAUCAUAAAGAUUCUAAAAAAACAGAUGUUUUAGGGGACAGAAGUAAUAAUCUGAACAUUACAGCCUCCUACAAAAUAAAAGUCAUGAUAAAGCAGCAUCCAGAGAGGUCUUAAAC